UGAACUGUUCCUUAUUAAGAUGGUGUCUGUUGAUUACAUGUACAUGUAGGUAAAAAUAAACACAUGUAAAAUAUACACUGUACCUUUAUGGAGCGUAUUGACUACAUAUGUAUACGCUAUAAUAAAUGCCUAUAUGUGUUUGCGGCGCACAUACACUUGUGUACAAGUUUUCUUACUUAUUUAAAUUUAAUAAUGAUAUUUAUAGUUAUAUGCAAUUAUUUUCUUACUGGAUUUUUGUAGCUGGUUGGCCUCUUAACCUAAUAAUAAUCAUUACGGAGAGUAAAGGUAUCCCUAUCCUUUAUAAUUUUCAACUUUGAAAUUAAACUUCAAGUGAUAAUUGAAAUACUACUUUACUUUAUUUAUUGCUAUACGUUAAAAUUAAAGAAGUUUUAAAAAACUUGCGGAAAAUUAAAGUAAAUAAGGCCUCGUGUGUUUUUAGAGGUUAUGUUUAUACAGGUCAAUAACAACUAUUAUUUAUAUAUCUUGAAUUAUUUACAACAACAAUAAAGGAAGUAUUACAAAAUGCGAGUAAAAAUUUAUCAAUGCUGCCCUAGAGGAAAAUAUCACUUUAUGGCAGAAAAUUAAAUGGAGCAAGAAAAUUGAAAUUGCACUUCCGAUCUAGCUGGGGAUCAUUUUUAGUAUCGUUGGGACAAAAGAGGAUUGCUGAAUAUAAAUGUCGAGUUAAAUAAGUGGCAGCAGCGCACUUUGAAGUUGGAAGACAAUCUGAAGUCGGUGUAGCUUUAACAAGGCAACUAGAAAGAUGUUUCAAGGACUCUAGGUGCCUUGAUAAGGAAUAUUUAUUCAUUGUCGCCGAUAAAAAAGUAUGGAAUGUCAGAGUCGACAUGAAUGUAAUCAAUCACGAUGGUAGUUUGGUUGAUUGCGCUAGCAUAGUAACUUUGGUUGCCUUAUCACAUUUUUAGCGUUCUGAUGUUAAUUCAAUUGGAGAUGAUAUUAUUAUACACUCAUUUGCUGAGAAAGAUCCAUUGCCUUUGACAUUGUUUCAUCAACCUGUAGGUGUUUCGUUGUAAACUUUUGAGAAGUAAUCUCCUAUUUAUAAUUCCUAGAAAUAUUUAUUUCAUUAAUAAUAAUAAUAAUACUAUUAUUAUUAAUAGUGAUGAGUGAUGGUGAUUAUCCCUGAU
rnacentral:lncRNA from 1 species